AUUGAACGCUGGCGGCAUGCCUUACACAUGCAAGUCGAACGGUAACAGGUCUUCGGAUGCUGACGAGUGGCGAACGGGUGAGUAAUACAUCGGAACGUGCCUAGUAGUGGGGGAUAACUACUCGAAAGAGUGGCUAAUACCGCAUGAGAUCUACGGAUGAAAGCGGGGGACCGUAAGGCCUCGCGCGAUUGGAGCGGCCGAUAUCAGAUUAGGUAGUUGGUUGGGGAAAGGCCCACCAAGCCGACGAUCUGUAGCUGGUCUGGGAGGACGACCAGCCACACUGGGACUGAGACACGGCCCAGACUCCUACGGGAGGCAGCAGUGGGGAAUUUUGGACAAUGGGCGCAAGCCUGAUCCAGCAAUGCCGCGUGCAGGAUGAAGGCCUUCGGGUUGUAAACUGCUUUUGUACGGAGCGAAAAGGCUCUCUCUAAUACAGGGGGCUCAUGACGGUACCGUAAGAAUAAGCACCGGCUAACUACGUGCCAGCCGCCGCCGUAA
rnacentral:rRNA from 1 species